GAUGAACGCUGACAGAAUGCUUAACACAUGCAAGUCUACUUGAAGCUAACUUCGGUUAGUGGAGGGUGGCGGACGGGUGAGUAACGCGUAAAGAACUUGCCUCACAGAUUGGGACAACAUCUGGAAACGGAUGCUAAUACCGGAUAUUAUGAUUCUUCUGCAUGGAAGGAACAUGAAAGCUAUAUGCGCUGUGAGAGAGCUUUGCGUCCCAUUAGCUAGUUGGAGAGGUAACGGCUCACCAAGGCGAUGAUGGGUAGCCGGCCCGAGAGGGUGAACGGCCACAAGGGGACUGAGACACGGCCCUUACUCCUACGGGAGGCAGCAGUGGGGAAUAUUGGACAAUGGACCAAAAGUCUGAUCCAGCAAUUCUGUGUGCACGAUGAAGUUUUUCGGAAUGUAAAGUGCUUUCAGUUGGGAAGAAGCAAGUGACGGUACCAACAGAAGAAGCGACGGCUAAAUACGUGCCAGCAGCCGCGGUAAUACGUAUGUCGCAAGCGUUAUCCGGAUUUAUUGGGCGUAAAGCGCGUCUAGGCGGCUACAUAAGUCUGAUGUGAAAAUGCGGGGCUCAACUCCGUAUUGCGUUGGAAACUGUGUGGCUAGAGUACUGGAGAGGUAAGCGGAACUACAAGUGUAGAGGUGAAAUUCGUAGAUAUUUGUAGGAAUGCCGAUGGGGAAGCCAGCUUACUGGACAGAUACUGACGCUAAAGCGCGAAAGCAUGGGUAGCAAACAGG
rnacentral:rRNA from 1 species